rnacentral:rRNA from 1 species
AUUGAACGCUGGCGGCAUGCUUUACACAUGCAAGUCGAACGGUAACAGGCCGCAAGGUGCUGACGAGUGGCGAACGGGUGCGUAAUGCAUCGGAACGUGCCCAGUCGUGGGGGAUAACUACUCGCAAGAGUAGCUAAUACCGCAUACGAUCUAUGGAUGAAAGCGGGGGACCGUAAGGCCUCGCGCGAUUGGAGCGGCCGAUGUCAGAUUAGGUAGUUGGUGGGGUAAAGGCUCACCAAGCCAACGAUCUGUAGCUGGUCUGAGAGGACGACCAGCCACACUGGGACUGAGACACGGCCCAGACUCCUACGGGAGGCAGCAGUGGGGAAUUUUGGACAAUGGGCGCAAGCCUGAUCCAGCAAUGCCGCGUGCAGGAAGAAGGCCUUCGGGUUGUAAACUACUUUUGUACGGAACGAAACGGCUCUGGUUAAUACCCGGGGCUAAUGACGGUACCGUAAGAAUAAGCACCGGCUAACUACGUG